rnacentral:rRNA from 1 species
UACGGGGGGAGCAAGCGUUGUUCGGAUUUACUGGGCGUAAAGGGCGCGUAGGCGGCCACGACAAGUCACUUGUGAAAUCUCCGGGCUUAACUCGGAACGGUCAAGUGAUACUGUCGGGCUAGAGUGCAGAAGGGGCAACUGGAAUUCUCGGUGUAGCGGUGAAAUGCGUAGAUAUCGAGAGGAACACCCGUGGCGAAGGCGGCUCUCUGGGACGGUACUGACGCUGAGACGCGAAAGCGUGGGGAGCGAACAGG